rnacentral:rRNA from 1 species
GACAGAGGAUGCAAGCGUUAUCCGGAAUGAUUGGGCGUAAAGCGUCUGUAGGUGGCUUUUUAAGUCCGCCGUCAAAUCCCAGGGCUCAACCCUGGACAGGCGGUGGAGACUACUAAGCUUGAGUACGGUAGGGGCAGAGGGAAUUUCCGGUGGAGCGGUGAAAUUCGUAGAUAUCGAGAGGAACACCGGUGGCGAAGGCGGCCAACUGGACGAAUACUGACGCUGAGGCGCGAAAGCGUGGGGAGCAAACAGG